GACGAACGCUGGCGGCGUGCCUAAUACAUGCAAGUAGAACGCUGAAGGAGGAGCUUGCUUCUCUGGAUGAGUUGCGAACGGGUGAGUAACGCGUAGGUAACCUGCCUGGUAGCGGGGGAUAACUAUUGGAAACGAUAGCUAAUACCGCAUAAGAGUAGAUGUUGCAUGACAUUUGCUUAAAAGGUGCAAUUGCAUCACUACCAGAUGGACCUGCGUUGUAUUAGCUAGUUGGUGGGGUAACGGCUCACCAAGGCGACGAUACAUAGCCGACCUGAGAGGGUGAUCGGCCACACUGGGACUGAGACACGGCCCAGACUCCUACGGGAGGCAGCAGUAGGGAAUCUUCGGCAAUGGACGGAAGUCUGACCGAGCAACGCCGCGUGAGUGAAGAAGGGUUUCGGAUCGUAAAGCUCUGUUGUAAGAGAAGGACGAGUGUGAGAGUGGAAAGUUCACACUGUGACGGUAUCUUACCAGAAAGGGACGGCUAACUACGUG
rnacentral:rRNA from 1 species